rnacentral:rRNA from 1 species
GUGCCAGCCGCUGCGGUAAUACAGAGGGUGCGAGCGUUAAUCGGAUUUACUGGGCGUAAAGCGUGCGUAGGCGGCGAAUUAAGUCGGAUGUGAAAUCCCCGGGCUCAACCUGGGAAUUGCAUUCGAUACUGAUUGGCUAGAGUGUGGGAGAGGAUGGGUAGAAUUCCAGGUGUAGCGGUGAAAUGCGUAGAGAUCUGGAGGAAUACCGAUGGCGAAGGCAGCCAUCUGGCCUAACACUGACGCUGAGGUACGAAAGCAUGGGGAGCAAACAGGAUUAGAUACCCUGGUAGUCCAUGCCGUAAACGAUGUCUACUAGCCGUUGGUCUCUUUGAGGGAUUAGUGGCGCAGCUAACGCGAUAAGUAGA